UAUUUAUCUGCAGAUUUCGUCUCUCUGACCAAGAUACAUUCCCUACAAGUUUCCACGAUCUAGUAAUGAUCAUCAUUUUACCAUUUAUGUGGAAUCCCUUAUCCAUCUCCCCUUAUUGUGUGUAUACACCAUGGAGUUAAGUCCUCUCAUUCACCACACAUUCUUCGCUACACUUCAGUCACUUCUCCUCCAAAUUUCAAAAGCAAAUCUUUCUCAGCUGUGACUGCGAGUGGCUAAAGGCUUUAUGCAACAAGUUGCAAGAUGAUAUGAAAAGAAUUGAAGAGAAAAACCAUUUGAAGGAGCUCCUGGUAAAGAGAAGAUGAAAACAGAAAUCUGACAUCGGCACUAUUUAUUAGCACCAAUUUUCUUUUCUGUAACAGUGUUAUGCUUACAACAUUGUUUUUGUAAUUUUUAAAAUAGUGGAAGUCUUCUGGAAGCUGGGCAGAAAAGGAGCAAGCCGUCCAAGAAGAUAUCAUAAUUGCAUCCGAAGAGGUCGUGAACGUCGAUGAUGGGUACAUGGAUGAUACAUCACUUGUUAGACAAUCCCUGUGAAUGCAAAUUUUUUCUUCCACCUUUUUGGGAGCCAAUUUUUAUGCUCGAGUUUGUCAAGAUGAUCCAGUGCAAAUUCUGCUAACUGCACAUUCGAAUGCAUUGUAGAUGCCCCCAAUAAGGCUCCCCACACUCCAGCAUCAGGUUCCAUUGGCAUUGACUUUAUCAAGUCCAAAACUUCAUUGAAUAAUCCAGCACGACCUAGUAGAUCUGCCAUGCAAGCAUAGUGUUCCAAAUCUGGUUCAAGCUGGUGCUGUUUGCUCAUGGAAUCAAAUAUUUUCCUCCCUUCUCCAAUUAAACCUGCAUGCCUGCAAGCUGACAACACGUUGAUGAAGGAAAAAGAAUCAAGCCUGAUUUCACUGUCCUGCAUGCGUGAGAAAAGUUCAAUAGCACAGCUCCCGCACCCAUGAACUGCAUAUCCUGCAAGCAUAACAUUCCAUGAGACAGUGUCUUUAUUCUUCAUCUCAUGGAAUAUCUUUUCAGAGUGAUCAAGCCAUCCACAUUUAGCAUACAUAUCGAUAAGACAAUUCCCAACAGGUGUUUUAGACUGAAAUCCCAUUCGGAUAACAUAUGCAUGGAGAGUCAUGCCAGCCCUUAAGGCUGACAGAUGCGCUACUGCAGGAAGGACAGUCACAAUUGUGACUAUAUUAGGUUGGAUAUUCUCUAAUUUCAUCUGGCAAAAAGCAGAAAAGGCAUCUUUGGCAUGUCCACUGUGCAUGUAUCCAGCAAUCAUCACAUUCCAAGACACCUCAUCCUUUCUACACCCUGUUCUAUGAAACAAGAACUCGGCCCCAGACAAGCUUCCACAUUUAGCAUACAUGUCAAUGAGAGCAGUCUUUACAUAACAUUCAGAUUCAAAACCACACUUUAUAAUUUUCCCAUGGAUACAGGAUCCUUGGUCCAGGUCAUUUAGAAGAGCAAAUGCUGGAAGCAAACCCACCAUAGUUCCGGAGUUUGGAUUUAAUUCAGACAGCUGUAAUUUAUGGAACAUCUCUAAUGCAGGAAAUGGUUCACCAA